GUCUUACCAUGCAGUCGAGGAAGGCCCUUCGGGCUCGAGCGGCGAACGGGUGAGUAACACGUGAGUUGCCCCUGACGGGAUAAGCCCGGGAAACUGGGUCUAAUACCGGAUACGACACCUCCGGCAUCGGGUGGGUGUGGAUUUUUCGGUUGGGGAUGGACUCGCGGCCUAUCAGUUGGUGGGGUAAGCCUACCAAGGCGACGACGGGUAGCCGGCCUGAGAGGGCGACCGGCCACACUGGGACUGAGACGCCCAGACUCCUACGGGAGGCAGCAGUGGGGAAUAUUGCGCAAUGGGCGAAAUGACGCAGCGACGCCGCGUGGGGGAUGACGGCCUUCGGGUUGUAUCUUUCAGCAGGGACGAAGUUGACGUGUACCUGCAGAAGAAGCGCCGGCUAACUAUGCCAGCAGCCGCGGUAAUUAGGGCGCAAGCGUUGUCCGGAAUUAUUGGGCGUAAAGAGCUCGUAGGUGGCUUGUCACGUCGGGUGUGAAAGCUUGGGGCUUAACUCCAGGUCUGCAUUCGAUACGGGCUGGGGUAGGUAGGGGAGAACGGAAUUCCUGGUGUAGCGGUGAAUGCGCAGAUAUCAGGAGGAACACCGGCGAAGGCGGUUCUCGGGCCUUACCUGACGGAGGAGCGAAAGCGUGGGGAGCGAACAGGAUUAGAUACCCUGUAGUCCACGCUGUAAACGGGCGCUAGGGGGACCUUCCACGGUUUCCGCGCCGUAGCUAACGCAUUAAGCCCCGCCUGGGGAGUACGGCCGCAAGGCUAAAACUCAAAGGAUGACGGGGGCCCGCACAAGCGGAGCAUGUUGCUUAAUUCGGCAACGCGAAGAACCUUACCAAGGCUUGACAUCCCGGAAACACUCAGAGAUGGGUGCCUCUUCGGACUGGGGACAGGUGGUGCAUGGCUGUCAGCUCGUGUCGUGAGAUGUUGGGUUAAGUCCCGCACGAGCGCAACCCUUGUUCAAUGUUGCCAGCACGCUCUGUGGGGUGGUGGGGACUCAUUGGAGACCGGGGUCAACUCGGAGGAAGGUGGGGAUGACGUCAAGUCAUCAUGCCCCUUAUGUCUUGGGCUGCAUGCUACAAUGGCCGGUACAGUUGCGAUACCGUAAGGUGGAGCGAAUCCCUAAAAGUCUCAGUUCGGAUUGGGGUCUGCAACUCGACCCCAUGAAGUCGGCUAUCGCAGAUCAGCAACGCUGCGGUGAAUACGUUCCCGGGCCUACACACCGCCCGUCACGUCACGAAAGUCGGCAACACCCGAAGCCCGUGGCCCAACCAGUCUGGGGGGAGCGGUCGAAGGUGGGGCUGGCGAUGGGACGAAGUCGAACAAGAGCCAU
rnacentral:rRNA from 1 species